AUGGUUGAUCUUACUGCUUCGCCGGACCCUGCUACUGGGUGCAGAAUGCUACCAUCACCGGGUGGCUGUGACGAAGAGAUUGGCAUGUUCCUUUAUAGGGGGCACGUGGACGAGGAGACUAUUAGGCUCUCCAAGGGAAGGAAACGGGCCUGCGACCAUGGCGAGCUGAUCAAGCUGUGUGUGGUCCCCUAUGACCAGCUCUGGCGCACGACGUCAGAUGCAAAGGCGCUCUCGGCAAUAGCUCUGUACGAGAUGGGCGCCAAUAGACUGCAUAAAGCUUCAUCAGUUAUACUCAUCCUUCGUCUAGGGAACUUGCAUGUUCAGCAAGCAUGUCCUAAAGACAAAGGAUAUUCUCCUCUCACUUGGAUGACACAGAUGCUCUAG
rnacentral:rRNA from 1 species